rnacentral:rRNA from 1 species
AUUGAACGCUGGCGGCAUGCCUUACACAUGCAAGUCGAACGGCAGCACGGGUGCUUGCACCUGGUGGCGAGUGGCGAACGGGUGAGUAAUACAUCGGAACGUACCUUAUCGUGGGGGAUAACGCAGCGAAAGUUGCGCUAAUACCGCAUACGCCCUGAGGGGGAAAGCGGGGGACCGUAAGGCCUCGCGCGAUUAGAGCGGCCGAGGUCUGAUUAGCUUGUUGGUGAGGUAAAAGCUAACCAAGGCGAUGAUCAGUAGCUGGUCUGAGAGGACGAUCAGCCACACUGGGACGAAGACACGGCACAGGCUCCUACGGGAGGCAGCAGUGGGGAAUUUUGGACAAUGGGGGCAACCCUGAUCCAGCAAUGCCGCGUGAGUGAAGAAGGCCUUCGGGUUGUAAAGCUCUUUUGUCAGGGAAGAAACAGCAGCUCUAACACAGUCUGCGAAUGACGGUACCUGAAGAAUAAGCACCGGCUAACUACGUGCCAGCCGCCGCAGUAA